rnacentral:lncRNA from 1 species
CUGGAGGAUGCGGCGGUGGAAGACGAAGCGACAGGAGAUCGCGAUAUGGGCAAUCCAGGUCUAGGAUGAGGGACUACAGUAAGAUCAGAUGCUACUGAUGUGAUGAGUUGGGGCAUCGUGUCAGAGAUUCCUUUCAACUCAAAGAUCGGAUGAUGGCUACUAUGGCAGUGGAUAGUAGAGACACAGAGAUUGUUGAUGCGUUUAUGGUCUCAGAUGAGGUAUCUACUCCUUCCUAGCAGUGAACUUUAGACUCUGCUUGUUCCCAUAUGUUUGUUACAGAGAAGAGCUGUUUGAGUCCCUAGAGAACAAUAAGGGCACUAUUUACUUGACGGA